rnacentral:rRNA from 1 species
AUUGAACGCUGGCGGCAGGCUUAACACAUGCAAGUCGAGCGGGGUGAUGGUGCUUGCACUAUCACUUAGCGGCGGACGGGUGAGUAAUGCUUAGGAAUCUGCCUAUUAGUGGGGGACAACAUCUCGAAAGGGAUGCUAAUACCGCAUACGUCCUACGGGAGAAAGCAGGGGAUCACUUGUGACCUUGCGCUAAUAGAUGAGCCUAAGUCGGAUUAGCUAGUUGGUGGGGUAAAGGCCUACCAAGGCGACGAUCUGUAGCGGGUCUGAGAGGAUGAUCCGCCACACUGGGACUGAGACACGGCCUAGACUCCUACGGGAGGCAGCAGUGGGGAAUAUUGGACAAUGGGGGGAACCCUGAUCCAGCCAUGCCGCGUGUGUGAAGAAGGCCUUAUGGUUGUAAAGCACUUUAAGCGAGGAGGAGACUCUUUUGGUUAAUACCCAAGAUGAGUGGACGUUACUCGCAGAAUAAGCACCGGCUAACUCUGUGCCAGCCGCCGCAGUAA